AGAGUUUGAUCCUGGCUCAGAUUGAACGCUGGCGGCGUGCUUAACACAUGCAAGUCGAGCGGUAACGCGGGAGCAAUCCUGGCGACGAGCGGCGAACGGGUGAGUAAUGCUUGGGAAUCUGCCCAUUAGUGGGGAACAACCAGCCGAAAGGUUGGCUAAUACCGCAUACGCCCUACGGGGGAAAGCGGGGGAUCGUAAGACCUCGCGCUAAUGGAUGAGCCCAAGUCGGAUUAGCUUGUUGGUAGGGUAACGGCCUACCAAGGCGACAAUCCGUAGCUGGUCUGAGAGGACGACCAGCCACACUGGGACUGAGACACGGCCCAGACUCCUACGGGAGGCAGCAGUGGGGAAUAUUGGACAAUGGGGGCAACCCUGAUCCAGCGACGCCGCGUGUGUGAAGAAGGCCUGCGGGUUGUAAA
rnacentral:rRNA from 1 species